rnacentral:lncRNA from 1 species
AUGAUACUAGUACUUUUCCCAGUACACAUUUACGACAGAAAGCCUGAACGGACAGGAUGUAGCAGCCCCUCCUAUUGCAACUGCCUUCACAUAUCUGGAGGCAAAUACUGGGACAGCCAAUUCAAAAGCAUUCAAAUCACCACCAACAAAACAACAGAGAACCCCCAGGGAGGACAUUAUGUGGACAAAGUCCCAGGAGAAGAAGCCGGACUGACAUUCUUGGGAUCCUUUCCCGACAUCAACAAAACAAACUUCACGUCCACAGCAUGGAGCUUCUCUGUCUCUCUUUUUCUUCUGCAGCCCACUGCGCACAUGGGAAAUCAAGAAGCUGUGGGGAACAGGGUGAGAUCCGGAGCAGACAGUGAGGUGCCAGGUAGAGGGGCAUGGUUUAAAAUCUAUGCCAUGUUUUGGUCUUUCCCCAAGAUCCAGAUUGCCUUGUCAGUCUAUCCUCUGCUUUAUUGGUGGUCUUGCCAAAUGGCAGACUUGGACAGGGCAACCCUGCAAAAAGAUGAUUGCCACCUAACAGUCUUCAAAAUAGAUGACAAGCUAAAAGACCCUUGGCCAUUCUUAAAACAGAGAAGAGAAGAGAUGUCAGACUGCUGGCUGCCAAAGAAGACAUUUUGAUGGGAACAUGAUAUAUUUUCAAAUCCUUUGUGUGUUGUGAGAGGGGUUAAUUAUUUUACUGACUGUUGUAAUUACAUUUAAUUUCCUUUUAAUAUUCAAAUAAAUUACAUUUAAUUGCUUUUUAAUAUCCA